UACGUAGGGUGCGAGCGUUGUCCGGAAUUACUGGGCGUAAAGAGCUCGUAGGUGGUUUGUCGCGUUGUCCGUGAAAACUCACAACUCAAUUGUGGGCGUGCGGGCGAUACGGGCAGACUGGAGUACUGCAGGGGAGACUGGAAUUCCUGGUGUAGCGGUGGAAUGCGCAGAUAUCAGGAGGAACACCGGUGGCGAAGGCGGGUCUCUGGGCAAUAACUGACGCUGAGGAGCGAAAGCGUGGGGAGCGAACAGG
rnacentral:rRNA from 1 species